UACGGAGGGUGCGGGCGUUAUCCGGAAUCACUGGGUUUAAAGGGUGAGUAGGCGGCUCGGUACGUCAGUUGUCAAAGCCCCUUGCUUAACGUGGGAGGUGCGAUUGAUACUGUCGAGCUUGAAUCGGGAUGAGGCAGGGGGAAUGUGGCAUCUAGCGGUGAAAUGCAUAGAUAUGCCAUAGAACACCGAUUGCGAAGGCAGCCUGCUGGGCCUGUAAUGACGCUGAGGCGCGCAAGCGUGGGGAGCAAACACG
rnacentral:rRNA from 1 species